AUCUACGGCCAUGCCACCCUGAACAAGGCCGAUCCCUUCUGAUCUCGGGAGCUAAGCAGGGUUGGGCCUGGUUAGUACUUGGGAGACCAUCUAGGAAGACCAGGUGUUGUAGACG
rnacentral:rRNA from 1 species